rnacentral:rRNA from 1 species
UACGGGGGGGGCUAGCGUUGUUCGGAAUUACUGGGCGUAAAGGGCGCGUAGGCGGUCUGCUAAGUUGGAUGUGAAAACUCUGGGCUUAACCCAGAGCCUGCAUUCAAUACUGACAGGCUAGAGUUCUGGAGGGGAUAGCGGAAUUCCUGGUGUAGCGGUGAAAUGCGUAGAUAUCGAGAGGAACACCAGUGGCGAAGGCGAGUCUCUGGACAUUUCCUAACGCUGAGGCACGAAAGCCAGGGGAGCAAACGGG